GAUGAACGCUGGCGGCGUGCCUAAUACAUGCAAGUAGAACGCUGAAGCUUGGUGCUUGCACCGAGCGGAGGAGUUGCGAACGGGUGAGUAACGCGUAGGUAACCUGCCUCUUAGCGGGGGAUAACUAUUGGAAACGAUAGCUAAUACCGCAUAAAAGUCGACAUUGCAUGAUGUUGACUUGAAAGGUGCAACUGCAUCACUAAGAGAUGGACCUGCGUUGUAUUAGCUAGUUGGUGAGGUAACGGCUCACCAAGGCGACGAUACAUAGCCGACCUGAGAGGGUGAUCGGCCACACUGGGACUGAGACACGGCCCAGACUCCUACGGGAGGCAGCAGUAGGGAAUCUUCGGCAAUGGACGGAAGUCUGACCGAGCAACGCCGCGUGAGUGAAGAAGGUUUUCGGAUCGUAAGGCUCUGUUGUAAGAGAAGAACGAGUGUGAGAGUGGAAAGUUCACACUGUGACGGUAACUUACCAGAAAGGACGGCU
rnacentral:rRNA from 1 species